rnacentral:rRNA from 1 species
UCCUACGGGAGGCAGCAGUGAGGAAUAUUGGUCAAUGGACGCAAGUCUGAACCAGCCAUGUCGCGUGCAGGAUGACGGCCCUAUGGGUUGUAAACUGCUUUUUUACAGGAAUAAUUGCAGAUACGUGUAUUUGUUUGAAUGUACUGUAUGAAUAAGGAUCGGCUAACUCCGUGCCAGCAGCCGCGGUAAUACGGAGGAUUCGAGCGUUAUCCGGAUUUAUUGGGUUUAAAGGGUCCGUAGGCGGUCUUUUAAGUCAGUGGUGAAAUCCCAGAGCUCAACUCUGGAACUGCCAUUGAAACUGAAGGACUUGAAUAUGGUUGAGGUAGGCGGAAUACGUUAUGUAGCGGUGAAAUGCAUAGAUAUAACGUAGAACACCAAUUGCGAAGGCAGCUUACUAAGCCAUUAUUGACGCUGAUGGACGAAAGCGUGGGGAGCGAACAGGAUUAGAUACCCUGGUAGUUCACGCCGUAAACGAUGAUUACUCGUUGUGCACAAUACAUCGUGCGUGACUGAGCGAAAGCAUUAAGUAAUCCACCUGGGGAGUACGUUCGCAAGAAUGAAACUCAAAGGAAUUGACGG